rnacentral:snoRNA from 1 species
CUCUUGUGAUGAUCGGUUUAAAUUAUCAGUUCUGCUUCUGAACCGUCAUGUGGAAAACCUUUACCAAGCUUACCAUAUAUCUGAUAA